AUUGAACGCUGGCGGCAGGCCUAACACAUGCAAGUCGAGCGGAUGAUGAAAGCUUGCUUUCUGAUUCAGCGGCGGACGGGUGAGUAAUGCCUAGGAAUCUGCCUGUUAGUGGGGGAUAACUCGGGGAAACUCGGGCUAAUACCGCAUACGUCCUACGGGAGAAAGUGGGGGAUCUUCGGACCUCACGCUAACAGAUGAGCCUGGGUCGGAUUAGCUAGUAGGUGAGGUAAUGGCUCACCUAGGCUACGAUCCGUAACUGGUCUGAGAGGAUGAUAAGUCACACUGGAACUGAGACACGGUCCAGACGCCUACGGGAGGCAGCAGUGGGGAAUAUUGGACAAUGGGCGAAAGCCUGAUCCAGCCAUGCCGCGUGUGUGAAGAAGGUCUUCGGAUUGUAAAGCACUUUAAGUUGGGAGGAAGGGUUGUAGAUUAAUACUCUGCAAUUUUGACGUUACCGACAGAAUAAGCACCGGCUAACUCUGUGCCAGCAGCCGCCGUAACAC
rnacentral:rRNA from 1 species